CAUUCGGAAGAGAAGAAGAUGGCGCCUGUGAACUCCAAUGCCUGAAUCUGCACCAAUGGUCACUGGUGAAGUGCACCCCACAAACACAUACGAUUUUGUUCCCUGGAAAAUGGUGCAGAACAUUCUCUUUAUGGCUGUAGGACCAGUGCCAAGCCUGAGCCCCAAUCAGCAGGCCUCCUCCCUCUCGUACAAAUGAGAUGAUCUCCUCAGCUUGGUGGCCAUCAUAUCCGUUAGUACAGAAGACGCCCAGGCCCUGAAUCAGGGUGGAAGUUUUUUGGACUUUGUACCCGGAGGCAGAGAGAUUUUUUGCUAAUAGGUGCAAUUUAUUAUGCACUCCAAUGUUGGCGUUUGAAUUUGGACUCAGCCAAGAUACAGCAUUUUUCAAAAAGACCAUAAAGGUUUCCCUGUUGAGAUAAUCCUCAUGGGCCAAAACCACUACUUUCCCAUUUCCAUAGCGAGAAGCAGCGAUGAGAACAUCUUUUCUGGGAGACACCAGCACAGGGAAUGCAGAGUCCCCUGUCAGCAGCAGCUUGCACGGAACCGCCUCCCCAGUGAAACUCAGAGAAUCAACACCACGGACCAGAGACUGGUAAUCUUCAUUAGCCGCCAUAUUGCUGAGGAAACAAGCAGGUAACACUAAUAGUUAGAAAACCCUUUUGUUAAAAGGCACAUCAUUAUACACUGGUGUAGCAUAGGGACUAGUGUGCCGGGACAUGUGGAUCAUCAUCUUGGUUAAGUAAAUCUGUUUAAUUCAUUUAUUACUUGAAUGUGAGUGAGACAUUGCUCACUAAUGGUUCACCAGAAGGCUUAAUCAUUUACCCUGCAUAUUGUGUUCAUAUGUGUUAUUAAUGUUAAUGAAUACAAAUUAUGAAUAUUAAUAAAGGUUCACCUCUUUA